AAGGUAAGAAGGUGCUUUAUUCCAUAACACAAAUUGUGUGUUCAAGUUUUCGAACUCGUUUUAGGAUUAGUUGCCAACAAGAAAGUGCAUCAAAAACCAUCUUAGGAACAAGAUGUUAUUAUAUAGUGUAUCCAUGUAAAAAUAAACACAGCACUUGGUAGAUUUCAGAGAGUAUUAUCAGGCAUCACCAGCUCUCAAACCUUCAGCCAAAGCACGUGCUCUGUUCUGGGUUUGUCUUUCUACAGCAACCACCUACAAUAAAUUCAUAAGAAAAAAGCUUUAAAGAAAACGGAUCGAAAGGUCCAAGAAGAUACAUUACCAACUGCACUUCCGAGUGCACAGCCCCAGAGAAUCCUCAUUGACCACUUAUCCCUCUCGACACCAUCAUACUUUGCUCUGCAAUAAACCCCCUUCAAAGCUAUAGUUUACCAGCAAAAAGACUCAAACUAAAAUUCAAAAAAAUUACUCGAAAUGUAGAUCUAUAAACUAUUUGGGGAAAAAGUAGAUGAGAACAACAAUAGGAGUGUGAGAUUACCAGAAUUCAAAUGAAACAAGAGGGGCUACUUUGUCAAUACUAAACAUAAAUGUGCUUAUUUGGAUAAAUAACAAAACUACGGAGGAUUGCUCCAUAAUUAAUAAAAACAUAAAGGACUAGACUACAUCCUCACAUGUAAUGAUACUUUUUUCUUUUGACCGAAUGUUUUACUUUAUCGUUUUCACAAAAUUAUGAAAUCUAUAUUAUUAAAGUUGAAGUACACAUUGAGAUUGUUUGACAAUAUGGAUAGUAGUUAAAAAAUAGUAUUGUUUGGAAACAUGGAUAGUAGUAAGUUAGAAAAAAAUAAUGGGCUUAUGCUACUAAAAAAUUGGAAGUCCAUUACAUUAUAUUAAAAAGUAAUAAGUCUAUGUUACUUGAUAAUAUAUAUAUUCAAAUCAAAAUAAUAAUUUAAAAUUGAUUUAUAUCAAAAAUUCAUUCAAAAAUAAACAUAUAUUCAAAAUUUCAUUUUUACUAACAUAUUUUUCAAUAACUAUUAUAAAAAUGUUUUCAAUAUAUAUAAGAAAAAUACAAUACAAAGCCCAAUUUCAAACACCAACUUAAAUUAUGGUUUUUAUGUUUCACAUUAAAUUUUAAAAUAUAAUUUAUGUGAUUAUUUAUAUCAUUGUACGUAUAAAAUAUUAUUAAUUAUAAGAAAACUUAUUUGAUGGUACUUAUAAAAUAUGAUUAAUUAUAUGAUAACACAUAUUUUGUAACCUAUGAUGACACAUAUAAGAUAUAUAUAUAUAUAUAUACAAUAGUGAUUAGGGGUGGGCGUUCGGGUUCGUUAUCGUUUUCAGGUCUUUUUGGGAUUUCGUGUUCAUUUCAGAUCUUUGAGGAUUUGGUUCGGAUUUGGAUAAUCAAUUUAAAUAGGUUUGAUUUAAAUAUUUGGUAGAGAAUUAAUAAUUAUUAAAGUAUUUUUGGAGUUUUGAGUAUAUUUUAACUAUCUAAGAUAUUUACGUUUGAUUAUUUGUAUAUAUUUUCAAGCAUUUAAGCAAACUAAAAAGUAUCAUAUAUAUUCUGGAUGUUUUUAUAUAUAUAAAAUCUAAAAAUAAUUAAUGUAUAUAUUAGUAUAUAAAUCUAUUUUGGAUACCCAAAAUACUUCGGUUCGGAUCGGAUUAGAUUUCAGUUCUUCAAAUACCAAAAUUUUGAAUAAUUCGGAUAUUUAAUCAAUUCCGGUUCGGAUUUAGUAUUACUUAUUCGGAUUGGGAUCGGUUCAAUUCUUCGAAUUUGAGGUUUUUGCCCAACCCUAAAUAGUGACAUAAAAAUCAAAUAGCAUCAUAUUUUUUUAAAAAAAUACACCCGCACAGGCGUGCGGGUCAAAAUCUAGUUCAAAUUAUUAUUCAUUUCUGCAAUUCGACUCUAUGAAAACUCCUAAGUAUCUUUUAUCAGUGUAUCGAUUUAAUAUACAUCUGCUCUAUUAACUAAGGUCAUUAAAAUGUGUUGAGUCUCAAAAAAGUCUUAAUAUUUGAUUUUUACCUUAUUGGGAAACAUUAAAACAUCUAAUGGAGAGUUAAAUGUAAGUGAAGUUUCGGGGAAAACGCUUUUGACAAAACACUCCU
rnacentral:lncRNA from 1 species